UACGUAGGGUGCGAGCGUUAUUCGGAAUCACUGGGCUUAAAGGGUGCGUAGGCGGGUUGCCAAGUCUGUGGUGAAAUCCUCCAGCUUAACUGGAGAACUGCCGUGGAUACUGGCGACCUCGAGUGGGGUAGGGGCUUGCGGAACUGUGCGUGGAGCGGUGAAAUGCGUUGAUAUGCACAGGAACUCCGGUGGCGAAGGCGGCGAGCUGGACCCUUACUGACGCUGAGGCACGAAAGCCAGGGGAGCGAACGGG
rnacentral:rRNA from 1 species